CAGAGUUCAUGCCCUCACGGGUAGAUCUCCCACCCUUGAAUAUUUUAUACCUUUGUUGCUUUGGCGGGCCGCUUCGGCUACCGGCUUCGGCUGGUGAGUGCCCGCCAGAGGACCCAAACUCUAUGUUUAGUGAUGUCUGAGUACUAUAUAAUAUUUA
rnacentral:misc_RNA from 1 species